CCAAGACAUUUUGCACAGCUCUAUUUCAGAGAUAAAGAGGCCAGUACAGUCUGUGUCCUCUAUAGUAAAAUUUCCCAAGUUCUGAUGAUUUGGGGAGGGGGAGCAACUGGGCACAUGCUACUCUUGAGUGUGAAAAGAAAGUAAUGGUUGGAGCAUCCGCUGGCAGCAGAAGGGCUAUGACAUCAUAUCACCACUAUCCACUAUAUGCCCUGUGCAAUAGGAGAAUACUGCGAGCUCUAAGCAGUGACACCCAGUCAUCAAUGCAAAUAGCCUAUCACUGCCAUUUGUCCAAUAUCUGCACUACCAGUGGUAAGGGGUAUUGAGAUUUGUGAGUUUAUACCUGUAUAGUCUGUAAAUGGUGCAGGUCAGGGGAUGGGAC